AAAGCUUCGGGGGACGGAUAGGGCGGCGCGGGCACAAACCUGGGACCGGGGGGUGGGCUUCGCCAACCGGCUCCAGCAACCCGCCGCUGGGGAGUAUUUCCCAGAAAGCUCGGGGGCGUUCCGAGGCUGCAUCCAAUCGCGGGGGCGCCCGGAGCGUGCAUCUGGGGGGGGGGGGCGCCCUCCUCGCAAGCGCCGCUGCUGUAGCUUUCGACCCAGAUAAGCUUGUUUUGGGAGAGAUCCUGCCCUUCCCAGGAAACCAAGUUUGAAGGUCUCGCGCAUUGCGGUUGCCUCAGGCGUGUUAUGGUGACGCGCGGGCGCGUGUACACACUGGAGAUUAAACGGUACGUAUGUGGUGCGCAGAGGGAAGGCUGCGGUGCUUGCCAGGUUGCGGAUCGGGGAUUUGAAGGGCGAGGUUCAGCCCCCCCUUGCGUUUCUUUUCUUAAGAGCCCCACGGAGCUCAGUCCCAAAUAAACUUAUCUGAGAUUGGGGUGUUAAGGGGUUUUGGGGAGAAAUAAAGUUAGACCAUCUUCCGGUGGUGCUCUCAGGGUUAGGGGGCCCACCUCAGCAGAAUAAGUAGGAUGGUCCCCCAAAUGCUGUAGCAUUUGCGAAGAGGUGAAGUAAUAAUGAACGUUACCGUCUAAAAUGGGAGAGCUAUUAAACCAGUAAGUCCGACUGCACCACUACCUCCCUCCAGCUUGUGAGACUUACUAGGUAGGAAGUGUCAUAAAAUACAGUGGGCCUAAGACUAGUAAACAUGUACAAGAUUGCUCUGCUUGUCUGUUGCAGAAAAAAAUAAAAAAGCUCGCAAAAAAUGCCUUGUAAUUAGCACCUUGGUAGUGAACAGAACACCAUAGCCUGGCGUGCUAUGGUCCAUGGGGUCACAAAGAGUCGGACACGACUAAACAACUAAACAACAAGUGAACAGAUUUAUUUUAGCAUAUCCUUUGGUGGGUUAGAGUCCACUUAAUCAGAUGCAUGAAGUGGCAAAGCAGGCUUGGUUUCAUAAAAAACGUAUACCACAACAAAUCUGAUGGUCUUUAAACCGUCCAAAUGUUCUUGGAUUACAACUCAUCAGCCAGCAUAACCAGUGGUCAAGUGUAAUGAGGCUUGUAGUCAUAUCCAUUUGCAGCAUUGCUAGAAUGAAGGGUGACUGUGACCCCCACACUUAUUCAUGCUUGGCUUAGUAUUAUAUGUGAACCAGCCCAGUGUAUCUGUUGGUAUAGAGAGACUAGACAGAAAAGGUCUGGGUUAGUGGUUCUGUCCAAAUAGUAGAGAGAGCCCAUUGUUUUUCUUUAUUGUUUGCUUGUCAUGCUGCCUGUGUUUCAAAAGUAGGCCUUCAAAUGUUAACCAUUACUUUUUAAAAUUGGGGCCUCAGGGACUAAUGUAAAGUGAGAACAGCCAGUUUCCAUGUUCUCCAGGCUGCUCUGUUUUUGUGACACUGGUCUGGAAAAUUUGCAUCACUUAGCAGCAAGGGGUGGGAAGAAUGUUUUCCCAUUUUGCAUCUUCCUCCGUACAGUGGAUCCAAUCAUGGCACAUCAGUUUGGCCAAUGAUAUUAAAAUGAAAAUAAAAUCAAUGCCAACUUAAUCUACAUCAACUAAAAUGAGAAGGAAACCUCAGGCUUCAUCUUUGGCAAGUCUACAGCCAAAAUGAGAAUACUGAAAGCCAUUGUGAUCUUACACACCAGAUUAGUACUGUUAAUUAUCAGCAUGAACACUGCAAUUGAUUUGUCAAACUAUAAGUUAGAAAGUGGAAGCAGAAAAUUUAUGAAACUAGUACCUAGGCCAGCUGAAAUACUUUCAACAAAAGGUUUGGACUCAUGAAGGUAACUAUAUAUGGCAGGUGGGUUGUGUUGUGCGGUUGCAGUGGUCUACCUUUGUAAGCAUACAGUAUAUGAGAAAUGACAUUGAACUCUAGAAGGAGGGGCAGGGAAUGUGAAUAGAAAUUCUUUGUGAUAAUAUUCUACAGAAACAAGUGGGAGAGGUGGACAAACAAUAAUGGUACAUGUGCAUUUCUCCCAAAGUCAGCUCUUUCAGUCAGAAGCCACACCAGUGUUCUCUAAAAUGUAUUUUCAUUUACAGUUUAUUAUUCCUUAAGUCACAUGCCUGUUUAUAGGCUGAAUAUCAGGCACUGUGAGUAGAGCUCAUAAUAGGUAAAGGUAAAGGUGCCCCUGACCAUCAGGUCCAGUCGUGUCCGACUCUGGGGUUGCGCCGCUCAUCUCGCUCUAUAGGCCGAGGGAGCCAGCGUUUGUCCGCAGACAGCUUCCGGGUCAUGUGGCCAGCAUGACAAAGCUGCUUCUGGCAAACCAGAGCAGCACACGGAAACGCCGUUUACCUUCCCGCCAGAGCGGUCCCUAUUUAUCUACUUGCACUUUGAUGUGCUUUCGAACUGCUAGGUGGGCAGGAGCUGGGACCGAGCAACGGGAGCUCACCCCGUUGCAGGGAUUCGAACCGCCGACCUUCUUAUCAGCAAGCCCUAGACUCUGUGGUUUAACCCACAUCGCCACCUGGGUCCCUUACAGAGCUCAUAAUAGACCUCUACUGUACUAUUCAGCAAGAGCCUGUUGCUGUCUCAAACCCAUUGAAAGGAAUGUAAACUAUGGCUUGCUUGCUGCCUGCAUAUGAAAACAUUAGUUUGGUCACAGAAUUUUCCCAUCCUUUUAAAAACACGAUGCAAAAAUAUCCCAACUUCACUGGAAUUAGGAACCAGCCAGCUUUUACUCAAUACUAGCUAAGAAGUCCAUAGUCCAUUAUAGGGUUGCCUUUGCACUUUGCCCAAGGCACUUAUACCUGUUUUUGUUUCUGUGCCAAUAUUUAGAACUCGUGUUGUACACUCUACUGCAGCAGUUUCCUUUUAUGCAAUGCAUUGCACUUUUACAAGCAUAUGCACUCUAGUUGUUUACGUAAUUGCUGCAUUUUAUAUAAUCUCUUGUAACAUGGUGUACUACCUAUGCAUUAAAGAAGCAAGUUAUAAUUUAUACACCCAACGAUGCAAAUAAUUUUAAAACUUGUAAAGAAUAAAGUUAAAUGAUAUACUGUAUGUUAUAUUAAUUUUGCUGAUUUUGAUAUUGUUAUUUGUUUCUUUUAUUAUUUGUUUGUAUACCUGUUUAUUUGUAGUUUGUUUUUCUUCCUUUUGUUUUAUAAAUGUAUUUAAAACAAUAAAGAUAUAUUCUGGAAGAAGCGAAGUUAUGUAUGUUGUGUUACUGGAUGCUACUUUCAAACGUUUCCUAACAAUCUUCAAGAAAAAAUAUAUUAAAAAAUACCGUCUUAGGUGAGUGGACCAAGUCAACUACAUCCGUAUUCCAAGGUACUGCACACAAGCAUGGUGCUGACACCACCAAGGUUGCAGGUUAAUUCCCAUAAGGGACAGGUGCACAUUCCUGCAUUGCAGGGGGUUGGACUAGAUCAGGCAUCCCCAAACUGCGGCCCUCCAGAUGUUUUGGCCUACAACUCCCAUGAUCCUUAGCUAACAGGACCAGUGGUCGGGGAAGAUGGGAAUUGUAGUCCAAAACAUCUGGAGGGCCGAAGUUUGGGGAUGCCUGGACUAGAUGAUCCUCAGGGUUGCUUCCAACUCCGAUUCUGUGAUCUUAACUGUAUACAAUCAAUGCAGGUUUACAAUUGGCUCUGCAAGCAGCGCAUAGCCAGCAUAAUGCGCCUUAAACUUUGGAGCCAGGCUUGAGCCUGUAACUAGUUGUAGAUAUUCUUCAUAGGCGUAUUGGAGUCAUGCCUUUAACUUGCCAGAAGCUAAAGAUGAAGCAAGGAGACACACAAACACUCCCCAGCCAUUUUCCCUAGUUUGUCUUCAUGGUGUUAAAACCUUGUUAGUAGUUUUCCUAAAUCAGACCAUUGCUUCACCCAUCUACUGGUACUCUAAUUUGCAGCAAACAAACCCAAAUUGCAACACUGUUAAGUGCAUCCAUGCCUAUUAAAGAAAGACUGUGGGAAAAUAUGCAGUCCAUGCACUACUAGUGAAUUUGGCUCUAGGAAGUUACAUCUAACAAAAUUGCUGCAUUUUAAUUACCUGGAGCAGCUUGCAGGAAACAUUUAGCUCACUUUACAUUCCCUGUCACUUGAGGAACUAUAGUGCAAUUAUUUUGCUUCAUGAAGGUCACAAAACAGACAAGAUAUCAAACGGCACCAAUCUGGGUUCAAAUUAGAAUUUUUCAUCCAUUUAAGGUUAUGCCACUUUGGUUCGGCCAUCACACUUUACUAUAUCCAUUUUUUUCUACUUCAUAUUUGGGAGGCAAGGGCCAGUAUAAUAUUGUGUAUGCAAUGCAUGUGUUACAUGGACUGCUUUUUCUGCCAUGGCCAUCACUCUUUAAAGCAGGGGUGGAAAACCUGCUGGAGGAUUUCAGCUGCCCUGUAUUCUAAAUAUAUUUAAAUAGGUCUGUCAUAUACAGUAUCCAGAAAUCCCUGGACAUAGCUGGGAUUAGUCUGUUGAAAAUGGUGUCUAAGCGGAUUUUUUUCCCAGCGGUUAAAAUGUAUGGGAAAACCUGGGCAUAUGGCAGCCUAUAUUGGAAGGGUUGGUUUUUUUGCUGAUUUUCCUAAAAUAAAUAGCAA